GACGAACGCUGGCGGCGUGCUUAACACAUGCAAGUCGAACGGUAAGGCCCUUCGGGGUACACGAGUGGCGAACGGGUGAGUAACACGUGGGUGAUCUGCCCUGCACUUCGGGAUAAGCCUGGGAAACUGGGUCUAAUACCGGAUAGGACCCUGGGAUGCAUGUCCUGGGGUGGAAAGCUUUUGCGGUGUGGGAUGGGCCCGCGGCCUAUCAGCUUGUUGGUGGGGUGACGGCCUACCAAGGCGCCGACGGGUAGCCGGCCUGAGAGGGUGACCGGCCACAGUGGGACUGGGAUACGGCCCAGACUCCUGCGGGAGGCAGCAGUGGGGAAUAUUGCACAAUGGGCGCAAGCCUGAUGCAGCGACGCCGCGUGAGGGAUGACGGCCUUCGGGUUGUAAACCUCUUUCAGCACCGACGAAGCGCAAGUGACGGUAGGUGCAGAAGAAGGACCGGCCAACUACGUGCCAGCCGCCGCCGUAA
rnacentral:rRNA from 1 species